rfam:Ornithorhynchus anatinus chromosome 5, whole genome shotgun sequence.
AGCAGCAUGGCUCAGUGGAAAGAGCACGGGCUUGGGAGUCAGAGAUCAUGGGUUCGAAUCCCAGCUCUGCCA